rnacentral:rRNA from 1 species
AUUGAACGCUGGCGGCAUGCUUUACACAUGCAAGUCGAACGGCAGCACGGGCUUCGGCCUGGUGGCGAGUGGCGAACGGGUGAGUAAUGCAUCGGAACGUGCCCAUUUGUGGGGGAUAACUACGCGAAAGCGUGGCUAAUACCGCAUACGCCCUGAGGGGGAAAGCGGGGGAUUCUUCGGAACCUCGCGCAAUUGGAGCGGCCGAUGUCAGAUUAGCUUGUUGGUGAGGUAAAGGCUCACCAAGGCGACGAUCUGUAGCGGGUCUGAGAGGAUGAUCCGCCACACUGGGACUGAGACACGGCCCAGACUCCUACGGGAGGCAGCAGUGGGGAAUUUUGGACAAUGGGCGCAAGCCUGAUCCAGCCAUGCCGCGUGAGUGAAGAAGGCCUCGG